ACCCGCUGAAUUUAAGCAUAUAAGUGAGUGGACGAGGACACAUCAAUUGAGCUUCCAUCAGUAAUGGCGAAUGAACAUGGACUGGCUCAGUGUGGUAACCGGGGCCUGUGGCCCUGACUUGUAGCCUCGAGGUGCGUUGCCAGCAUGAGGUUGCUGAUGGGUGCCUUCUGGAAAGGAGUAUCAGUGAGGGUGAGAACCCCAUGUGUCAUUUGUAGCCCCUCGUGCACAGCAUGCGCUGCAGGAGUCACGCUUCUCAGGCCUGGAGCACGAAUCGGGUGGCAACCUCCAUCUGCAGCUGAAUAUCAACCCAAUGUCGAGAGCAAACACGUACCCUGAGGGGAAGGUGAAUAUGGACUUUGUGAAGAGAGUUAACAGUGCCUGAACUUGCUGAAAGUAAAGCAUACUACGUCAAAGUAAUUUGGUGGGAAUGCUUCGGGUGACCACCUCACCAUACUUGUGCAAGCAGUGGGUAGGUCGAUUGGUGGUGCCAGAGUGGUUCUCGCCUUGUCUGUCAGUUGGUGCGUGUGUGCGGGGCAGAAGUUUGAGUGUGGCAGUCUUCUGGCGGGUGGGCGAGCCUGAUAGCUUACAUCUCUGCACGUGCACUUGGUGGCCAAAUGGUCGAUAUGGCCCGUCUUGAAACACGGACCAAGGAGUCUAAUCAUGUGCAAGCUGGUUGGUGCAAACACUGGUUGAGCAGUAAAAGCAAAUCCUGGUAUCCAUUUGUCAGUGGCCGACCCAUCAGUUAAGGAUGAGUUCGAGUAUGAGUGUGAGUGCUAGGACCCGAAAGAUGGUGAACUAUGCCUGUGAAGAGCAAACGCAGGGGAAACCCUGAUGGAGGCCCGCCGUGUUACUGACGUGCAAAUCGUUUGCCAUACAUGGGCAUGGGGGAGAAAGACUAAUCGAACCAUCUGGUAGCUGGUUACCUCCGAAGUUUCCCUCAGGAUAGCUGGAGCUGGACAGCUUCACCAGGUAAAGCGAAUGUCUAGAGGAAGUAGGUGAGGUUCAGUGGUUGCUUGUGUGAUCCACUUAGCAAGUUGCAGCUCCAGGUGGACCAUUUUUGGUAGGCAGAACUGGUGAUGAGGGAUGAACCUAACAUUGGGUUAAGGCACUUCACUGCUUGCCUAGCAGAUACCAUAAAAGGUGUCGGUUCAUUUCAACAGUAGGACAGUUGUCAUGGAAGUUGAAAGCUGCUAAGGAGUGUGUAACAACUCACCUGCCGAAUGGGCUGGCCCUGAAAAUGGAUGGCACCCAAGCGAGUGGCCAGCUCCCAAAUCAUCGAAACAACCAUGUUGGACCAAUGAGUAGGAGGUUACAAAAGGGCUUGUGGCGAACAUUCUUGGUGUGAGCCUGGGCGGAUCAGCCCCACGUUCAGAUCUUGGUGGUAGUAGC
rnacentral:rRNA from 1 species